UGUUUCCCCUCCUACUUUCGAGAACGCCCUGCUCUGUCUAUGAGUAGCUAUUCUUUCACCACUUUACUUCCUUAAUAAACUUACUUUUGCUUUGCACUGUGGACUUGCCCUGAAUUCUUUCUUGUGGGAGAUCGAAGAACUCUCUCUUGGUGUCCGGAUCGGGACUCCUUUCCGGUAACAUCACUAUGUUGCCCAGGCUGGUCUUGAACUCCUGGCCUCAAACCAUCCUAUAGAUUCGACCUCCGAAAGUGCUGGGGUUACAGGCAUAGCCACUGUGCCCAGCUGGAACAAUCUUUAUGAAGGUGAAUUAAAGCUGUGAGGCAUGAGACCAGAAAAGAUGCACCAGGAGUAAUGGAUUUUGGUGGAGAAUGAGCCACAGAAACGCGAUCAUGAGGCAAAUGGUGGGGCCUAACCCUGCCUUCUCAGUCCUCGGGAUGGGAGACCGGGCUAGAGAAGAGAAGGCUGGUGUGAAAACGCCGGGAGGCCCUCAUCGAGCCUCAUUCUCAGCCACAUCGUAAGGAUUUAGAGGCCCUAAGCACUGACGACGCUGUGGUGCCACAAAAAUAGACAAGCAGGGCAUGUGCGCUGAAGCUGGAAGAGGCUUCUUCCAUAUUUUCAUUGCAAAAUCAGAACUUUGACCCGCUUUGCAGAUAACCCUGCAUUUUACCGAGAUGUCAAAGCAGGAAGUGCUUGGCUGGAACAUCUGCCGACAGCCUCAUCUCUUUCUGCAAGAUCAUGAUGUUCUGCAUGCUCCUGUGGCCUCUUAUUUCACGUUGCUCUCCCUGCAAAUUUUGAAACAACUUUAAAGAUGAAUAAAAAGCAGCUCAGCAAGUGAAUCCCAGAUCCCGGUAAGAGAGUGUCUCCCCCAACUCACAUAGUGAGUGCACAUCAUCCCCAGAACCACCAUGAGAGUGAGCCUGGUAGCGGGUAGCACCCUGCCUGUGACGAAGCCAGCACACUAUGACGAGCAGCAGCUUCUAGACCCAUGGACCACGGGCACUGCCAACGCUCUCCCUCCGGGGACUCCUCCUGCCUCCCAUACAGGGCCAAACUCCGACGCCCACGAGCUCGCUCAGAAUUGGCUCAGGCUGCAAUCACUUCUCUUCUCCUACCUCCACACCAUUCCCUGAUGGUGGACAGCUUCUCCUUUGAGAACCACACCUGCCUUUUCAGACAAAAGGAGACACCACCCACCCUCCUGCUGAGGGCUGCUCCCCUGGGGCCUUCUCAGCACACCUCUCUCUCUCUAGGUCAAAAAACAAAUUUCACAUGCUGAAUUUUUACCUUUUUUAAAGUGACUCCGAAUUUUGGCACCAGCAAUUAAUUCAACACUUGAAUAAGAUUUGAAAACCUCACAACAAAUCACAAAUAUAUUAUGG
rnacentral:lncRNA from 10 species